rnacentral:rRNA from 1 species
UACGGAGGGUGCAAGCAUUAAUCGGAUUUAUUGGGCGUAAAGGGCGCGUAGGCGGGUAAUUAAGUCAGAUGUGAAAUUCCGGAGCUUAACUCCGGAGCUGCAUUUGAAACUGGUAAUCUAGAGGGUAGGCGGAGAAAAUGGAAUUCCACGUGUAGCGGUGAAAUGCGUAGAUAUGUGGAAGAACACCGGUGGCGAAAGCGGUUUUCUAGCUUAUACCUGACGCUGAGGCGCGAAAGUAAGGGGAGCAAACAGG